CUCUGUGACUCCUACGGGAGGCAGCAGUGGGGAAUAUUGCACAAUGGGGGAAACCCUGAUGCAGCCAUGCCGCGUGUGUGAAGAAGGCCUUCGGGUUGUAAAGCACUUUCAGUAGGGAGGAAGGUAGUGUAGUUAACACCUGCACUAUUUGACGUUACCUACAGAAGAAGCACCGGCUAACUCCGUGCCAGCAGCCGCGGUAAUACGGAGGGUGCGAGCGUUAAUCGGAAUUACUGGGGCGUAAAGCGCAUGCAGGCGGCCUGUUAAGUCAGAUGUGAAAGCCCCGGGGCUUAACCUCGGAAUUGCAUUUGAAACUGGCAGGCUAGAGUCUUGUAGAGGGGGUAGAAUUUCAGGUGUAGCGGUGAAAUGCGUAGAGAUCUGAAGGAAUACCAGUGGCGAAGGCGGCCCCCUGGACAAAGACUGACGCUCAGAUGCGAAAGCGUGGGGAGCAAACAGGAUUAGAUACCCUGGUAG
rnacentral:rRNA from 1 species